CGCUAAUGUCUUUCUUCAGCAAGUUGUAUUCUCACUUCUUGUUUUCGCUUUGGUUAAAACAUGGUCAUCAAUUCUAAUAGAGUAGAAGAUUUCUCUAGCCAUGAAACUGCUCUCAGAAUCACCACUGAAGCAAUGCCACCCACGGAGAUACACAGUGUGUGUCCGCCGAACCAACAAACCACCCUCCAGAAACUGAGGCAAAGGCUUGGUGAGAUCUUUUUCCCUGAUGAUCCCCUCUACAGAUUCAAGAAUCAAACUUGGAACAAGAAAUUGCUUCUGGGUCUUCAGUUCUUGUUCCCCAUCUUCCAAUGGGGUUCUGAAUAUAGUUUAAAGCUCUUCAGGUCUGAUAUCAUCUCUGGUCUCACCAUUGCCAGUCUUGCCAUCCCACAGGGAAUCAGUUAUGCAAAACUCGCUAAUUUGCCACCUAUAGUUGGGCUAUAUUCAAGCUUUGUACCUCCAUUGAUAUACUCUAUCCUUGGAAGUUCAAGACACCUUGCUGUUGGUCCAGUCUCUAUAGCAUCAUUGGUGAUGGGGUCCAUGCUAAGUGAGGCAGUUUCUCCUACUGAAGAACAAAUUCUUUAUCUGAAAUUGGCCUUCACUGCUACCUUCUUUGCUGGUGUGUUUCAGGCUUCUCUAGGUCUACUAAGGCUAGGCUUUGUUAUUGAUUUUCUCUCAAAAGCCACUCUUGUUGGAUUUAUGGCUGGUGCAGCCAUCAUUGUUUCACUGCAACAGCUAAAAGGGUUGCUUGGAAUUGUUCACUUCACCAGCAAGAUGCAGUUUGUUCCUGUGAUGUCCUCUGUUUUCAACAACAGAGAUGAGUGGUCCUGGCAAACCAUUGUUAUCGGCUUCGGUUUCCUAGUGUUUCUAUUAACGACGAGGCAUAUUAGCAUGAAGAAACCAAAGCUUUUCUGGGUGUCAGCAGCAGCACCAUUAACAUCAGUGAUUGUCUCUACCCUUUUAGUUUUCUGCCUCAAGUCAAAGAUUCAUCGAGUCUCGAUUAUUGGUCAUUUGCCUGAAGGCUUGAAUCCACCUUCAGCAAAUAUGCUAUAUUUUAAGGGUGAUUAUCUGGCAGUUGCUAUCAAAACUGGCAUUGUAACUGGAAUCCUAUCUCUCACUGAAGGAAUUGCUGUGGGAAGAACAUUUGCUGCACUAAAGAACUACCAAGUUGAUGGUAAUAAAGAAAUGAUGGCUAUUGGUCUCAUGAACAUGGCUGGUUCUAGUUCUUCAUGCUAUGUUACAACAGGAUCAUUUUCUAGAUCUGCAGUCAACUACAAUGCUGGAGCACAGACUGCAGUUUCGAACAUAGUAUUGGCUUCAGCUGUACUUGUGACUCUGUUGUUUCUCAUGCCUCUCUUCUACUACACUCCCAAUGUAAUCUUGGCAGCCAUCAUCAUAACAGCUGUGAUCGGACUAAUUGAUUAUCGGGCUGCAUAUCAAUUGUGGAAAGUUGACAAGCUUGAUUUCUUGGCUUGUUUGUGUUCCUUCUUUGGGGUUCUUUUCAUUUCAGUGCCUUUAGGUCUUGCCAUAGCAGUUGGAGUUUCGGUAUUCAAAAUUCUACUGCACAUCACAAGGCCAAACACUCUAGUUAUGGGAAACAUACCAGGAACUCAUAUAUACCAGAGCCUUAACAGAUAUAGAGAAGCUCGAAGAGUUCCUUCAUUUCUUAUACUCGCUGUUGAGUCUCCCAUGUACUUCGCAAAUUCUACUUACCUCCAAGAAAGGAUAUUAAGAUGGGUUCGCGAGGAAGAAGAGAGGAUAAAAUCAAAUAAUGGAAGUACUCUUAAAUGCAUAAUUUUGGACAUGACAGCUGUUACAGCCAUAGACACAAGUGGCAUUGAGUUGGUGUGUGAGCUAAGAAAGAUGCUGGAGAAAAGAUCUCUUCAGCUUGUAUUGGCAAAUCCUGUUGGAAGUGUCAUGGAAAAGCUACAGCAAUCUAAAGUACUGGAGUCCUUUGGAUUAAAUGGACUCUAUCUUACAGUUGGAGAAGCUGUAGCCGAUAUCUCGGCCUUAUGGAAGUCUCAACCAUGACUUCCUUGAGGUUAGGACUUAGCACAGUGGGAAAAAAAAUUAAAAGAUUGACUUUAACUCUCAGAUAAUGGCAAGUUAGAUAGGAAGAGCUGUAGUCAGGAGAGGACUUAUCUUUCUCUGUUUGAGUUCAAUCAAGGCAAUGGGAAAUGUUGCCUUCUUUUUGAAAGAGGGAAUAGGUGAAAAGUAUGCUCUUUUGAGAAGAGAUUUUGAAGUUCUUAACUCUCAACAAAGUUAAUGAAUUUAAUUUUACUGCUGAUUUCAUGCAUAUUAUGUUGGAUAGAAGAAAGCUGUUGGAGGUAUCUGUUUCAUUGCCAUGAAAAUACAUGAAAAGUAGAGAUCCAAAAAAAUGAAGAUCAUGGACAAAAGGAGACUCACACUCACAUCAUCAUUAACACGAACAAAUCAAUGUGCAAGAUAGAUUAACAGUGAGAUGUAAGAACUUAUACAAUCAAAAGAAUUGCUUCUGCUCCUCAAUAAACCCAGAUAUUGUAGCUAUAACCCAGAAGGUACAAAGCUCAAAAUAAGGUGGAAU
rnacentral:misc_RNA from 1 species